rnacentral:tRNA from 1 species
GCCGAGGUGGCGGAACUGGCAGACGCGCUGGACUCAAAAUCCAGUGAUGGCAACAUCGUGAGGGUUCGAGUCCCUCCCUCGGCA